GUUACAUUUUGAAGUUGAGGGACUGUAAUGUUACAACUAGAUAAAUUCAGGGACAGUCGUUAAAAUUUAUCCGGAAUUGAUGAAAAUGAGAAAGAGGAUGAUUUGGUGCAACAAAUUAGUAAUGGAAAACAAAGGGAAACAAUUCAUAGUAGUGGUAUCAGUGCUUCAAAAAGAGUAAAAUUUCUAUAACCACAAAGCAAUAGAGAGCCUAUUGAUGCUUAUUUUUCCCCCAAACAGGCUAUUAUGAAAAAAAAUACGAGUCAAACUACUAUUUAUGAAAAUAAU
rnacentral:misc_RNA from 1 species